rnacentral:rRNA from 1 species
CACGUAGGGUGCGAGCGUUGUCCGGAAUUAUUGGGCGUAAAGGGCUCGUAGGCGGUCCAUCGCGUCGGGAGUGAAAAGCUGGGGCUUAACCCCAGUCCUGCUUCCGAUACGGGUGGACUAGAGGUAGGUAGGGGAGAACGGAAUUCCUGGUGUAGCGGUGAAAUGCGCAGAUAUCGGGAGGAACACCUGAGGCGAAGGCGGGCUACUGGGCCGAUACUGACGCUGAUGUGCGAAAGCCAGGGGAGCGAACGGG